UACGUAGGGGGCAAGCGUUGUCCGGAAUUAUUGGGCGUAAAGAGCGCGUAGGCGGUCCAGUAAGUCGGUUGUGAAAGUCGGGGGCUCAACCCUCGGAUGCCGAUCGAUACUGCUGGGCUAGAGUCCGGAAGAGGCGAGUGGAAUUCCUGGUGUAGCGGUGAAAUGCGCAGAUAUCAGGAGGAACACCAAUGGCGAAGGCAGCUCGCUGGGUCAACACUGACGCUCAUGCACGAAAGCGUGGGGAGCAAACAGG
rnacentral:rRNA from 1 species